GGUUUUUUUUUUUUUGAAGUUUUCCAAUUUUUUUUUGUUAAAGUUUAAUGAGCCCUCAGAGUCCUAAUCCUAGUCAUUCUCUGAGAGCCGCGUCACGUGCGUCGUCACGCGUGGUCUGAGGCUGCAACGGUCAUAUCGCUUGCCAUAUAAACAGAGCGGGAAGAGAAUUUUCAUUCGCUCGAUGAGCGCGAGCGAGCUAGCGAGAGAGAGAGAGAGAGAGAGAGAGAGAGAGAGAAGCGAGAAGGGGUUGGAGAGGGGAUCGUGCUCCAAGAACGCUUCUCAGGUGAGAGCAAUCGUUGCAUUUGCUUGUAGAAAAUGUUUGCUUCGAUUACAUUAGGGUUCUGCAUCCGUUUAAUUAGGAUUUUUAUUUAGUAGAUCGUCAUAUCGGGUGUCAGAUCGUUAUGUUUUUCUCAGAUUAGUUGUUCUUUUCUUUGUAUUUACCACGAUUUUCGUCUCUAUUUGUUAUUAACAUGUUUUCUUUUUGAUCUUUUUGAUGAAAUCGGUGGGAGAUCAAGUGGUGCGAUUCAUCGGUAAAUCCAUCUCAGGUACGUUAGUUCUUGACCCGUUUUUAGGGUUUUUAUUUAGUAGAUCAUCGUUUGAUUUAGAUGGUUGUCUUUUUGUUCCGAUGAAAUCCGUCAGCUCGCUGAUUAGUUUUUAUUUUCAUUUAUUUAACACGAUUGUGAUCUCUAUUCACUGUUUGAUCUUUUCAUGAAAUUCUUGGGAGAUCGAGGGAUGCGAUUCGUUGCCCACUCCAUCUCUUUGCUGGAGCGCCCUGUCUGGUGAGAGCAAUACUAAUAUAAUCUGUUGAGAGUAGUUUUCAUUUUCUUUUGUUUAACACGUUAAGUGUGUAUAAAUAGCCUAAAUUCAAUUCAUUCUGUCAAUAAGUAUUAUCUUGAAUUGAUGGGUCUCAAAAUGUUUAUUCACAUUCAAAUUUGUGCCUUGCAUCAUUAAUCUGCAGCCUAUUAAUCAACACCAUACUCUAUAGAUGGUCUUUACAGAAAAUACAGUUUGUGCAAAGUAGUUCGUUGAAUUAUGAAUCCAUAUAUAUAUAUAAUUUUUGGUACCCUACUACUUGUUGUUCAUGUAAUUAAAAAGGCAGUUGAAAGAUUUUGCAAUGCUGUUGUGACGCCUGGUUGCUGAAAUGAAAUGGCAGCGAUGACCUAAAAAUUGCUUGAUAUAUCUUUGUAACAACAGCUGACUUACUUCGUGUAGCUGUUUUUAUUUUUGUCUCUUCAUAGUGCUUAUCCUCACUCCUUAGGUUUAUUACUAAUUGGUGAGCCACAAAUGCUUUAUGCAAUAUCCGUUAGGUUUGCAAUUCUCCCAAGAGGUGGUCAUUUUCCAACAUUUCCUUGCUGAUCUGUUCUAACUCCACAGAUCUGUAUCUGAGAUACGCUGGGCUUGGAGAGAGUUUGUUUUCUUUCUUUUUUCCAUUUUGACUUCAUCUUCUUUUUCUUAUGCUUUUUCCUUUUUGCCUUAAAAUUUUCUCUUAGAUACGAAGUCACUUGGAAGCUGUAUGACUUUCUGGAUUCUUCUGCCCAUCUUGCUUCAGUUUUUACAAUGUGAUCCAGAUGCGCUAUGUGAUACUUAGUGUAGUUCCCUGUAAUAUGAGGUUCCCGGAUCCAUCUACUCCUAGCUUGAAGUACACGGACUAUUGACACAACCGAUUGAAAAGUUGUCUGCUGCAGUAGUCGAGAUUUGGUGCCUGAAAUCACCCUAUGCCUGUGAAUUUUAUCUGAUGUUUAUGAUGCUCACAAGGAGAAGCAGAUCAAGGCUGAAAUCGCUGAGUAUCUCAAGGCAAAUAGUUUGGGCUCUGUUGCUGAUAAUCCUAAACUGACCAUUAUUUCUUGUUUUGCCUUCUUAUAUAAGAAUUAUGAUAUAGUCCCUGGUCUAUCAUCCUAUAUUGCUGGUUAAAAGCUUCUCCGACGAUGGUUAGGUCGUGGUGCUGGUAAUGUUAUGUGAAAUCACUUGCCACGUUCACUUCUUAUACAAAGUUUCUGUUUGUCUUAUUAAAUAACUUUUUUCAUUAGUACAUGUUGGUGGAUUACUAGGUUAUGUAUUUGGUAAAAAUAAGCAUUAUUAGGUUUUGUAUUUAGUGAAAAGCUCUUGUAGAGUUUUGGUCGGUCGAUUAAGUCCAAGUUUUGACUAUUAUUCUCAUAGGUCUUCUAUCAUAUGAAGAGAAAUGACGCAGCAAAUUAGUUUGUUGUUGACUCUGAAUCCCAUGUCGUUUAUGGCUGAGAUAUUUGGAGUCUAAUUCACUCUGUCUAAUUUAUCAUUUGAAGGAAGGUGAACUGGACAAAAUUUUAUCAAUUGAAGUCUUAUGCUGAGUCUAUCUUCCAGAGAGAGGACACUAAUGGAAGAGGCUUUCAAUAGGUGAUGUUGAAUAGGUUCAUCUUUGAAAUUUGUAAUGUUAUAAGAAAGUGUAUCUUGACUUUUUAUAUCUUAGCAGCGCCAAAACUUAAUUCAAAAAAGUUUGGGCUUUUGUACAUAUUAGCAGUGCCAGUGUGCGAACAGAAAGGGUAUCUGCACUUUGUAUAACUUAUGAGUAACAAAACAUAGUUGAAGAUGUUUUCUGAUUUGCAUUUUAGUGCUUAACAGGUUACUAAAAAAACGCUCAAGUUUUUGCUGAUUAUGUGGACUAUUACCAGAUGAAGUUGUUACUAUUUUUCUCCUAAUGUAGUGCUUAUUAUCUUAUGUAUUACUUGUUUAACUCUGCUUGGUUUGAGUUGGUGAGCCACAAAGCUUAAUUCAAAUAUUAGAUAUGCAAUUCCUAUGAGGUUUCCUCCAAUGUUUUCUUGUUGAUCUGUUCAAAAUCAUGGAUCCAUAUUUGACAAAUGCUGAACUUGGAGAUCCGGUGCAAAAACACUCUAAGGCACUGCUUGUAGAUCCAUUUCGGAAACUUCGAGCUUGGAGAGAAUACACUUUAAGGCGCUGCUUGUAGAUCCAUUUCGGGAAACACUGAGCUUGGAGAGAGUACAACGACACUUUAAGGUGCUGCUUGUAGUGCUGUAUGACAUUCUAGAUUUCCUUGCGAAUGCUGCUUCAGUUUUUGCAAUGUGAUCCACAUGUGUGAUGUGAUUCUUAGUGCAUUCCCUUGUAAGAUGAGGUCCCCCUGGCCCCUGCGAUCAAUCUACUCCCAAUCAGGGCUAAGCAAAUCAAGGUUGACAUUGAUGAGUAUCUCAAGUAAAUAUUAAGUAACAUUUUAAAUCAUUUCUGUUGCUGAAAAGCAGAUCAAGGUAAGUAUUGUUUUUUACCUAGUUCUGUGGCACCGGUUAUACGAUUAUUAAGUAACAUUUUGAAUUGUUUCUGUUGCUGAAAAUCCUGUGACCUACUAUUGUUUUGAGCUUCCAUAUUGAAAUUUCGUAUUCUUGUUAAAUUCUAGCUCUCUAUAAGUUCGCAUCUAUGCCUGAUAUUAUUAUCGAUUUGAGUGUCUAACUUGCUCCAUUGCUAUGUUUUACUGCAGACACAACCAGACUGAUCUUCCCUUUUAAGUGAUCUUAUACAGAUAUUACUAAUUCCAGUAUUAUGUCUAUCAAUGUAGUAUCACAAACUUGACCCUCUAUCGAAGGGAGUGUAAAUGGGCUGGCCGGCCCGUGGGAUGGCCCAGCCUGGCUGCGGGCCGUUUCUAGUUGGCCCGCAGCUUGGACGGCACAGCCCGCGCCAUGGGUGCGAGCCAGUACCACACAUUCUGUUUUGAAUUUUGGUUGAAAUGGGAUUGCAUGCAUCCUUGCAGCUGCAGUAAUGGCACCGAUUAUGAGACGAAUGGAGAAGAAAUGAGCUGCGUGAGCUGACGACCAGAAGAAAAAUCUCAUCAGUGGCCCAUGAAAGCUACCACCAGCAAGCUCUGAAACAUUGCUGCAGUUGCCCUCAACCUGCUUCUGGGGAGUUGUACACCGAAGGACAAACAUCCAAAUAAGUUGCUUUAUCUGCGCUUAAGGAACGAGAGGUGUAGGUGCAAAAUAUAACUUUUUAAUAAGGGGUAUGCACAUGAUUCAAAUUGUUUCUAGGGGGUAGGCGCGACACUUAUUGAAAUGUACGCAUGCAAGUACGUGGUAUAUAUAUGAAGAAAGAUCUGUUAAAUUAGUCUAACUAGAUUUCUCAUAUUUCUUAAAAUUAAGCGUUUGAAAUUUCAAGUAUUUAAGUUCAUUCCACUGGGCAUAAAAUUGUGGAAUUAUACCAACCCGUUUUGCUUAAUCCUUGCAUCACAUACAUAUUAUCCAACAAUUUUCUUUUCCUGAAGCCAAUAGAAAUUUGUUAUAUUAAUACAAUUAAGUUAGAACACCAUGUAACUUUUUAAAUUCUCGAAGUUGCCUGUUGGUCAGGGCAGUCCAAGUCGUUAUUUUUGUUCUCGUACUCAUUAAUAUCACCAGUAAGGGUGUCUUUGUCUUCUUUUUUUUUCCUUCCAAAUUCUAGUGAUUUAGAUUCUAUCUUCAAAGUUCCGUUCAAAGCAGUAGUAGUUAAUAAAGACGUCGAAAAUGAAGAGUAAGUUGUUGUGUCCUGUGAUGAUGAUAGGGCAGGCUGAGUUGGAUGGUAAACUCGGUCGUCUUCAAAACUAGUAAAAAAAAGAUUCGGAGAGAAUGAUAAUCCGAGCGGUUGAGUGGUCAUGUAAUUACUAAUUAGAUUAUCGCAUCGAAGCUAUAAUGUCGCUUUGGCUAGGUCAAUAGCAACGGGUCAAGUUGAGUGGUCCCAUGGAUCAAAGUUUCUCUUACAUUGGUGUUAGGGCCCAUUUGCUGUUUCAAGAGUACUCAUUUAGGACUGCCAUGGCCUGUAAAUGAAACUCGGUUUGCACUCACUCUUGGGUCUAAGUAUUGCGGAACCCACCAAAUUAGGGUUCAUAAUAUGGAACUGGACGGUGCUUGAUUCAAUGGUCUCCCGAGCAUGACGGUAUUUAAUUGUAUAGAUUAGGGCUCUUAAGUUUGUAUCUAUCCGCUUAAUUGCUUGGUUGAGUCAAAUUGAGAGUGACAAUUCGUUGGUUGCUGGAAUCGAAACUGGUUCUUGUAAAAUAUAGCUAUCAAAUUUAAUCCACCAGGCUAAAGGACAAGUGAGCAUUUUGUCGAGUUUUAAGUCCCAGGAAAACUAAAUCGAUUUGAUAUAGGCUACUGAGAGCAAGUUACUUUUUAGAUAGGAUGAGAUAUAUUUGUUCCUACGGCCCUAAUCAAACUUUGGUAUAUUGUUAGAGUUUUGGCGAAUGAUUUAAUUGCUCAGCCGAAUUAGAUUGGGGUGGGAUAUUUGUUCGUUGGAUGAAAUCAAAAUUGGUAGAGGACUUUUGAAGUAACAAGUUGAUUUGGAGGUCCUGCAUCUAUUGAAGUAGAGUUAUCAGGAGUAUUGUUAGAUAAUAAUGAGUCUUCUAUUUAAAUAACACUCCACCUUAAUGCAGAGCCAAGCAAGCUAUAUAGCUGAUGUAUACGUCUGGUCGAGCCAUCUAGAGCUUUAGAAGAAACAAAAAUAUCUCCCAGACCAUGCUUACCUGAUGUUCUAUCAACAUUUCUAUAUCGCUAACAUGAAUAAACACAUCCCAUAUGAGAAGCGAAAAUCUUAAAUUAGAGAUCUAUAUAGAUAUUAUAAGUUGUUGUUGGAUUUUCACUAUCUAAUAAUUAUUUUCAACUUUGAAGUGAUUAAAAAGUUAAUUUACAAGUCAUGAUUAAAAGCAUGGGAAGAUAUUUAAUUCUUUUC